rnacentral:miRNA from 1 species
UGGAUUGGGUUAGAUUGGAUUGG